rnacentral:rRNA from 1 species
CCUACGGGUGGCAGCAGUGAGGAAUAUUGGUCAAUGGACGAGAGUCUGAACCAGCCAAGUAGCGUGAAGGAUGACUGCCCUAUGGGUUGUAAACUUCUUUUAUAUGGGAAUAAAAUGUUCCCCGUGUGGGAUUUUGUAUGUACCAUAUGAAUAAGGAUCGGCUAACUCCGUGCCAGCAGCCGCGGUAAUACGGAGGAUCCGAGUGUUAUCCGGAUUUAUUGGGUUUAAAGGGAGCGUAGGUGGAUUGUUAAGUCAGUUGUGAAAGUUUGCGGCUCAACCGUAAAAUUGCAGUUGAAACUGGCAGUCUUGAGUACAGUAGAGGUGGGCGGAAUUCGUGGUGUAGCGGUGAAAUGCUUAGAUAUCACGAAGAACUCCGAUUGCGAAGGCAGUUCACUGGACUGCAACUGACACUGAGGCUCGAAAGUGUGGGUAUCAAACAGGAUUAGAUACCCCAGUAGUC